UCUGCAAAUGAAUAACAAUGUCGUAACCAGAAGCUUGGUGCUUAUAACAAGUAAAAAGCCGCCAUCACAAGGAAUAAAACGUGAUAAAUUAGACCAAUCUUGGAAGCCACACUGGCUGCACCAGUAGCUGGCGAAUAGCUUCCUUCAGGUGUGCCUGUUGUGAGAACAACUACUAUCCAGUCUCCAUCGGAACCAAUCCCAACUCCUGUAUACUUGGUGUCAUUGAGGUUAUCAUUAUACUGAGACUGUGUAAAGUUAGUGAGUACAAGAUUUGGAACUAGGUUAGGAACACAAGCAGGCAUUACUGCUCCAUCCCUUGUGUUGGAGACACAUUCAAAUGGCAUUUGGCCAGAAGGUUUGGGUAGUUGGCAAACUGCGGUUCAGUGCCUGGAACGGUGUUGGCACCGGUGGAGUUUGUGCAAGGUUGGUUCUUAAAUUGAUCUGCUAGUUCAUCAGCAAGGCACUCGGCAUUGUCAUUUUUCUUCAGAAUUGUCAAGUUCAAUGAAGCCCGGUAAUCGUUUAUGCCUUUAAGAAGAUUAUCCUCCUCAUCUGUAAAUGGUCAAGAAUAAAGUCGGUGAUUACAUAUAAUAUUUUACUGCCAUUUCGUAUUAGAAAGAAUAAACAAAAAAGUUCUAUUUUGGGUGUGAACCAAAAUGCAAAGAAGAUCGAUUUUCUUCGCCUCUUGAAACAAAAAGAAAAUCAUAGUUACAUGGCAGAAAAUUUCCAGCAAAAUAAGUUUAUAUCCUCCCAUGUAGCUAAAUUGCUGAACAGCUAAACAUCAGAAAGAUCCAGUACUGCAACUCAUGAAGUUACUCAAAAUUCAAACCAAGUAAUCCAUACAAAAGCCAAAUCUCAUCAGUCAGCUUAGGAUAUCAGAGAGAAAACAACAUUUUUAUUCAAAGGGGAAACCAUACAGGCUAAUAAAACCCAGAUUUCUAGCUAUAUGACUGCACUCUAGACCCUCCAAACAAAGUCAAUCUGAACCCGCAUCUAAUUCAAAUUUGAUGGCUCAUAUUAGCCAUAGUUAUGAUGGUCAGAGCUCAAGGUUAGGUUUAGGACUGUAAUACAGCUGAGUCAAAAAUCGGAUCCAGCUCAGUUAAGUACCAUUUUUUGAGAUAGAGCUUUGCUCUAGAUGAAAUCGAACUAUUUUUCAUACAGGAAGGACAACUAGAAAUCUGCAUUCUGCUGGAACAGUGAGUCCGAAAAUUCUAAGACAUAUUACAUGAAAAAUUAGGGAAGUGUUUACUUGGUGCACCAGUAGCUGGCGAAUAGCUUCCUUCAGGUGUGCCUGUUGUGAGAACAACUACUAUCCAGUCUCCAUCGGAACCAAUCCCAACUCCUGUAUACUUGGUGUCAUUGAGGUUAUCAUUAUACUGAGACUGUGUAAAGUUAGUGAGUACAAGAUUUGGAACUAGGUUAGGAACACAAGCAGGCAUUACUGCUCCAUCCCUUGUGUUGGAGACAUUCAAAUGGCAUUUGGCCAGAAGGUUUGGGUAGUUGGCAAACUGCGGUUCAGUGCCUGGAACGGUGUUGGCACCGGUGGAGUUUGUGCAAGGUUGGUUCUUAAAUUGAUCUGCUAGUUCAUCAGCAAGGCACUCGGCAUUGUCAUUUUUCUUCAGAAUUGUCAAGUUCAAUGAAGCCCGGUAAUCGUUUAUGCCUUUAAGAAGAUUAUCCUCCUCAUCUGUAAAUGGUCAAGAAUAAAGUCGGUGAUUACAUAUAAUAUUUUACUGCCAUUUCGUAUUAGAAAGAAUAAACAAAAAAGUUCUAUUUUGGGUGUGAACCAAAAUGCAAAGAAGAUCGAUUUU
rnacentral:lncRNA from 1 species